rnacentral:lncRNA from 13 species
AAAGUUUUAUUCAAUUUAAAUGUUUUUUUUUUUUUCAAAUUACAGGAGAUUGAGGUGUGUAUUAUAAAUUGUUUUCUUGGUUUUAGAACUUUAUUUGUGUCCAGUUAGUGCAAUUUAUUUAAAUUUGCCUUGCUAACUUCAGUAGUUAGCUAACAGCGCGAAUGUGAAGUUUUCUGCGCCAGAAUGGUAGAAUGGCCUCACUGCCGAAAAUGUUGUGGACGUUUUGUUGUAGAACCCCUUUCAUUCUCUGGGGUACACGGAAAGGGUGAAAAUUUAAAAGCGAGGUUCGACCUCUGCUUGAGAUCAGUUUCAUGAAGAAGGAUGAAAAGGUGGGGGCGGUCAAUACCACCUGGGAUCAAAAGUAGAGCUGGUUAACAGGGAGCCUUUCAUCAAGCCGCCUGUAUUGCUGGCCUUGCCUGCGUUCUUGUGCUUGCAAGAAUGUGCUUUUAGCGGACACUACGAGAUGGGAAGUUCCGCCGACAAGGGCAACUACAAGGAGCUUGCAGAGUCAAAUCCUGUCCUGCACUGGUCAAGCCUCUGAACACCUCAAUUCAUGCCUCAUACCCUCAUUCAGUCACUGCUGUGAUCCCUUUCCCACACGGUAUAACCGGGUCCUUACAGCUUGCCUUGUGAGGUGGACUAGAAUG